GCCACAGUAUUAUAAAAAGAUAUCUUACAGUAGGCAGAUGCAAUUUCUCUAUAGAUUUGUUGCUUAUUUUAAUAGAUUGAUAAUAAUGGCAAUGGGCGGGACUCAUAGUUCGAAGAGCUGAUGGACGUUGGGGUCCCAAAGUGCUGGAAUGGCGACCCCGCACUAGAAAGCGCAGUGUUGGUCGACCCCCAAGGUGGACUGACAUUAUCGAGCGAUUCGCUGGAUCCAGAUGGCUCAGUAUCGUGAUGUUUGGAAGUCCCUACAAAAGGCCUAUGUCCUGCAGUGGAAGUCCAUCGGCUGAUAUGAUGAACCUGUUAGUAAUUGAUAUUAAUCGGCAAACCUGCUUGGACCAUGGCUCACGAUAAAUAAGUCGAAUCGUCAUACCUCGUUUCUUUACAGAGUUUUGAGGAAACGCGAUGAAUGUUCUCUACUUGUCUAUUUACUUUCUACUCUAAGCAGACUUUAAAGGCAACUUUUAUCAACGGCCACGGGUAUCGUACACAUUUUAUUAUUAAUGUGGUUUUGCACACAGAAAAACACUAAUAAUUUAGUGUUAAAACGAAAUGGCGAUUUCCAAGAUGUUUUAUUUGAUAUUAAAACGUAAUAUAAGAAUUAUAUCCAAAUGUAGAUAUUAAUAGAAAAUAAAAGCCGUCCAUUAAUAUAAUCAUUUAUUAAGUAAUUAUUAUAAUUAAUACAUUAAUUAUUGCCUAUAUAAUUUUAUACAUAUGAUUUGUAAAUUUAUUCAAGUGUUAUUUUUAAGUACUCUAGGUUGUGUUGUGCAAUCCAAUUGCAUUUUACGUUAUUUAUCAUUAAAUACAAUUUACAUAAAUAUACUUGUAUUUUAAAAUAUUUGAGCUCACGAUUUUUAGUUAAAGACUAAUUAAUUAAUUAAUGACAAUAUUUUUAACAUAAAAUAACAGAUGAGUAAAUAAUAAUAAAUGAGAUAGAGAUACAGAGAUGAUUUCCAAAACUAAUUAAAAACAAAAAAACAAUUACUGCUUUAAUUGUGUCAGCAAAGUAAUUACGAUUAUUAAUUCUUGAAAAUAUUGACACAAGUUUUAGACACGAAAAACAAUAACUUUUGUAGACAUAGGAUUGUUAAUAGGAAAUAAAAUCAGUUCAUAGUAAAAGGUGAAUUUCUUAAUUAAUUUUUGAAUACAUAUUUCAAUGGUCAGUGAAUGCACAAAAUAUCGUGAUUAAAAUCGUUAAAUCAUGCUUUGAUCCACAAAACCUACGGUACUAAACAUCUACAGAUUGUCAUCAUUAUUGAGACGCACGGAAGUGCGUCAGCCAAAUUAGGGAGAAUGGCAAUCAAAGCGACAAGGUAUCUUUCAUCAUUUGAGGCCACUUUUGUCUAUUUAAAUAAUUUACGGAGAUGUAAAUUGUUUUUAUUUUGAUUAUUAAUUGAUGAUGGAAGUUAAAGGAUUCGCUUAAUCCAAAAUUGUAUAGAGCCCAGGAUCAGUCAUUGUACCCUGGCGGAAAUAAAAGAAAAUAUUUUUUUAACUAUUUUUGAUUAUACAAAUCUACGAAUUUACUUUAAUUCUCUCGAAAUAAUAUUCAUUCUCUCACAAGAAAUGAACACUAAUAUGGGUAAUAAUGGCGGAUUGAUGACGUUUUCAAUGCAGUAGUCGAUUUAUGACGUUUGCUGUCAGUUGUCAUGUCAUAGUUGCUCUAUGGGCGCCAUCUUGGCGAUCUUGAUUUAACUCAAAAACUUAGGUUUAAUUUUAUUUAUUUCUUUUUAUUUAGUUAGAUUUAUUCACAUAGUUAGAUUUGAAUAAAAUCAUUGUAUUUUUUAAAUUUUAACGACGUACAAGACUGGAUCCUGAAAUGGAUCAUUUCCUUUGGGAAAGUGCAUAUUUGUUUAACGAUUUUAAUCAUUGAAAAAAUAGAAUAUUUAUAUAAAGAAGGAAAUGUCAGAAGAAUAUGCCCACUUACGCUUAACCCACAAGAUAUAGUUACUGUAUGAAUUAUAUCGAAAUAAUAGUUUUAACAAUACAUAUUAAGUGAUACGUAAUUUAUAUUACAAUUUGAUUUUAUUAUACACGACAUUAUAUUAUAUUAUUAUUGUAAAUUUUUAUAAAAUAUAUGGCAUGUUAUUUUUCUAA